AUACGUAGGUGACAAGCGUUAUCCGGAUUUACUGGGCGUAAAGGGCGUGUAGGCGGUCUUGCAAGUCAGAAGUGAAAUUCCUGAGCUCAACUCGGGCGCUGCUUCUGAAACUGCAGGACUUGAGUGCUGGAGGGGAUAGCGGAAUUCCUAGUGGAGCGGUAAAAUGCGCAGAUAUUAGGAAGAACACCGGUGGCGAAGGCGGCGAUCUGGACAGUAACUGACGCUGAGGCGCGAAAGCGUGGGGAGCAAACAGGAUUAGAUACCCUGGUAGUCCACGCUGUAAACGAUGAUUACUAGGUGUGGGGGGACUGACCCCUUCCGUGCCGCAGUUAACACAAUAAGUAAUCCACCUGGGGAGUACGGCCGCAAGGUUGAAACUCAAAUGAAUUGACGGGG
rnacentral:rRNA from 1 species